UACGUAGGGUGCAAGCGUUAAUCGGAAUUACUGGGCGUAAAGCGUGCGCAGGCGGUUGUGCAAGACAGAUGUGAAAUCCCCGGGCUUAACCUGGGAAUUGCAUUUGUGACUGCACGGCUAGAGUGUGUCAGAGGGGGGUAGAAUUCCACGUGAAGCAGUGAAAUGCGUAGAUAUGUGGAGGAAUACCGAUGGCGAAGGCAGCCCCCUGGGAUAACACUGACGCUCAUGCACGAAAGCGUGGGGAGCAAACAGG
rnacentral:rRNA from 1 species